rnacentral:rRNA from 1 species
AUUCCAGCUCCAAUAGCGUAUAUUAAAGUUGUUGCAGUUAAAAAGCUCGUAGUUGGAUUUCUGGUCUGAUGCCCUGGCCCGCACCGAUUUUGGUGUGAGUGCCGGCUGUGCGUCUACCAUCCUUCUAGAAAACGUUUCUACCCUUCACUGGGCCGGAUUCGCGAUCUAGAUCUUUUACUUUGAAAAAAUUAGAGUGUUUAAAGCAGGCUUUUGCUAUGAAUACAUUAGCAUGGAAUAAUAAUCUAGGACUUCGGUUCUAUUUUGUUGGUUUCUAGUACUGAAGUAAUGAUUGAUAGGGAUAGUUGGGGGUGCUAGUAUUGGGCGGCCAGAGGUGAAAUUCUUGGAUUCGCUCAAGACUAACUUAUGCGAAAGCAUUCACCAAGGAUGUCUUCAUUA